AGCAGAGGACUGAAAAUCCUCGUGUC
rnacentral:tRNA from 6 species